GGAGAUAAGGAAGGGGAGAAGGGGCCUACUGCCUAUGCGCAAUGGUCUCCAGAAACUUGGAACUGGCCCUGGGCUGCCAGGCAGACCUCACAGGAGAGAGCACUUCACAAGCGGGGAGCCACUGGCCAAGCUGCAGGAUGCUGGAGACAUAGGGACUUGGCUGGGACUCUUCCUGCUCUCCAAAAGGGGUCUGCUGAGAAAAAGAAAGAGCCUACUAAUGCCCAUUAUACAGGAGCUGUCAUGCUUAAUAAAGCAAUGUGGGAUUGCUAGGUCAACCAAACGAAUAGGCAGCAAGGUUGGAUUCCAAAAAUGGCAAUCGCAGAACAGAAGAAAAAAAAGAAAAGAUCCUGUUUACCUGCAAAAAGGAAAGAAGGGAAGAAAACUUGUUUUGAAUCAAAAUUCAUUAAGAGUAUGUUGAGAUCCUGUUUUCAAUAAAUUCAGCCCUGGGAUAUAUGAAGUAUAUAAAGAAGACAGUUACUCUGACCAUGUGCAAAGUGUCUUGACUUCACCAUUGAGUAAUGAUCAAACUGUGCACACGCAGGAGUAGGCAGACGUUUUGCAUCAAGUAUAGACUGGAUGAU